rnacentral:ncRNA from 1 species
AGAGAUAGAGGCGCAGGGCUUAAAAGUAGCUCUUGUUCGAUCCCGAGCGAACGGGGAACGAGAAUGAAAGGAAGUCUUGCCGAAAUCGUCGCGCUUUCGUUGGCGCGGUCGGUUGGGCGUCGGUAAAAUAUAUCGGCGACUGUCGCUUAUUUCAGUCGGUUCGGAUAGUUAAACAUCCGGUCGAUCGGGCGGAGAGCUAUCGUG